AACACGUGAGUAACCUGCCCUUGACUCUGGAAUAAGCGUUGGAAACGACGUCUAAUACCGGAUACGAGCUUCCGCCGCAUGGUGAGGAGCUGGAAAGAAUUUCGGUCAAGGAUGGACUCGCGGCCUAUCAGGUAGUUGGUGAGGUAAUGGCUCACCAAGCCUACGACGGAUAGCCGGCCUGAGAGGGUGACCGGCCACACUGGAACUGAGACACGGUCCAGACUCCUACGGGAGGCAGCAGUGGGGAAUAUUGCACAAUGGGCGCAAGCCUGAUGCAGCAACGCCGCGUGAGGGACGACGGCCUUCGGGUUGUAACCUCUUUUAGUAGGGAAGAAGCGAAAGUGACGGUACCUGCAGAAAAAGCACCGGCUAACUACGUGCCAGCAGCCGCGGUAAUACGUAGGGUGCAAGCGUUAUCCGGAAUUAUUGGGCGUAAAGAGCUCGUAGGCGGUUUGUCGCGUCUGCUGUGAAAACUGGGGGCUCAACCCCCAGCCUGCAGUGGGUACGGGCAGACUAGAGUGCGGUAGGGGAGAUUGGAAUUCCUGGUGCAGCGGUGGAAUGCGCAGAUAUCAGGAGGAACACCGAUG
rnacentral:rRNA from 1 species